rnacentral:misc_RNA from 1 species
GCACCGCAGGUAGAAACGUAGUGACGUCACUUCCCAAAUCGUAAAUGAAGGGAGUUUCCUAGUACUGUUUACGUUAAAAUUAUGGCUAAGACGUACGACUAUUUGUUUAAAUUACUUUUAAUUGGUGACUCUGGAGUCGGGAAAACUUGUGUGCUGUUCCGGUUUUCAGAAGAUGCGUUUAAUGCUACUUUCAUUUCAACUAUAGGUAUAGAUUUCAAGAUAAGAACAAUAGAAUUAGACGGAAAGAAAAUAAAAUUACAGAUAUGGGACACUGCUGGUCAGGAACGCUUCAGAACUAUUACAACUGCAUACUACAGAGGUGCUAUGGGAAUUAUGUUAGUGUAUGAUAUAACAAAUGAAAAGUCAUUCGACAAUAUCAGGAAUUGGAUUAGAAAUAUAGAAGAGCAUGCAUCGAGAGACGUUGAAAAGAUGAUCCUGGGUAAUAAAUGUGAUAUGAACGACAAACGACAAGUCAGUAAAGAGAAGGAGAACAGCUUGCAAUUGAGCAUGGAAUAAAAUUUAUGGAAACGAGUGCAAAAGCUAGUAUAAAUGUUGAAGAGGCCUUUUUCACCUUAGCAAGGGACAUCAAGGCAAAAAUGGACAGAAAAUUGGAUGCAUCAUCAGCUCCUAAAGGUGGAGGGGGUCAGAAAUUGGCGUCCAAUCAAAACCAGCCGAAGAAAUCAUGGUGGAAGUGUGCUAUUCUCUGAUUGGACAGUUCAAAUCUCAGUUGUUUUCUGAUUGGACAGAUAUUUUUUUAAAGAUUAUUUUUAUUGGUCAAUUUUGAAAUAAGGAUGGGUAUGUAUUCUGAUUGGAUGAAGCAAAAGUGACCAACUAUAGACUUGACAAACAGGGAAAAACUAGUGCUUUGUAUGAAAGGGAUCUCAAGGUCACUAAUGUCCAAAUGAAAGACUAAUUCUGAUUGGCCGAUAUGUGGUUACUCAAAUGCAAAGAGCGUUUUGAUUGGCAUUUGAAACAACUGCAGCAGUAUGCUAGUGUAUAGUUAUGACUUUGUUCAUGUAUAUAGUAUAGAACUAUUUAAUUACAUAGUAAUUUGUUUUAAAUGUUCAUUAUAAUUUUAUACUUAACUGAAGUCUGAAGGGUUUUUGCUUGAUGUGUAGAUGUGAUCAUAAGGUCAGGAGAAAGUAUUUUACACCAGUAAAAAUAAUAAAUGACUAUUUGUAUGAUUUGGUUUCAUGCUAUUGAGUUCUUAUAAAAGUAUCCUCUUUCAUCGAAGCUGCAUGUAUAUGCAUAAUUUUUAAAUGAAUUAAGACAGCUUGACUUAGGCAUGUCCUUUGGUUGCCUGUAACAGAAAAUACCUCUCCCCUGAUCUGAUAAUUUCAGUAUACUCCAUACAUGUACAUGCACUCAAGUUUUAGGAAAUUAACAAAUACUUAUGAUGUUCUUGUAUUUUCUACAAGCUUAUUGUAAUCAGGAAAAAGUGAAGGUCUAAAGCUCCUGGCAGAUCAUGUGAUAUACAUAAGAGUGAGCCGUAUGCACAAAUUUCUUCCCAGAUCUUAACUGUGAGAUAGGUAGGCAAAUGUUGUUAACAUGCAGAUUAAUGCCUUCAUCAGGCUUUUCUUUGACCAAAUCUUUACAUUCUUUUUGAUCGGGUUAUUAUUGCUCCAUUUUUAUUUCACAUUUUGAUAGACACAAUAAAACAUGUUCCAAUGAAUAAAAUUUUAAUUAUAAUAAUUUUAAGCUGCAUAGUUUUUUUUUAAUAUUCUUUUGGAAGUCAUGCAGCCUUAAUCUUCAUGAAAGUUUAAACCUUUGGUGUAGCUCUUUUCGGGAAAAUUAACCCC